rnacentral:rRNA from 1 species
AAUUUUGGACAAUGGGGGCAACCCUGAUCCAGCCAUGCCGCGUGAGUGAAGAAGGCCUUCGGGUUGUAAAGCUCUUUCGGACGGAACGAAACGGUUAGCGUGAAUAGCGCUGACUAAUGACGGUACCGUAAGAAGAAGCACCGGCUAACUACGUGCCAGCAGCCGCGGUAAUACGUAGGUGGCAAGCGUUGUCCGGAUUUAUUGGGUUUAAAGGGUGCGUAGGCGGCCUAUUAAGUCAGUGCUGAAAUAUCCCGGCUUAACCGGGAGGGUGGCAUUGAUACUGAUGGGCUUGAGUAGAGUUGAGGUUGGCGGAAUUGACGGUGUAGCGGUGAAAUGCUUAGAUAUCGUCAAGAACACCUAUUGCGAAGGCAGCUAACUAGGCUCAAACUGACGCUGAGGCACGAAAGUGUGGGGAUCAAAC